rnacentral:misc_RNA from 1 species
CUGAACGGCCAUUGGCCUUCAACCCAUCAAACCUGUGGACCUUAAACCGUGCUUCGGCGCCACGAUCGUGGCGUCGCCUUUAUGCUGAAAGCUCGAUUUUGUCUGAUUAAUCACAAAAGAUUUA